rnacentral:rRNA from 1 species
CUGAACCAACCAAGUAGCGUGAACGAUGACUGGCCUAUGGGUUGUAAACUUCUUUUAUAAAGGAAUAAAGUCGGGUAUGCAUACCCGUUUGCAUGUACUUUAUGAAUAACGAUCGGCUAACUCCGUGCCAGCAGCCGCGGUAAUCCGGAGGAUCCGAGCGUUAUCCGGAUCUAUUGGGUUUAAAGGGAGCGUAGAUGGAUGUCUAAAUCACUUGUGAAAGUUUGCGG